GCCUAGAGAGGGGCUUGCGUCUGAUUAGCUAGUUGGURAGGUAAGAGCYYACCAAGGCGACGAUCAGUAGCUGGUCUGAGAGGAUGAUCAGCCACACUGGGACUGAGACACGGCCCAGACUCCUACGGGAGGCAGCAGUGGGGAAUUUUCCGCAAUGGGCGAAAGCCUGACGGAGCAAGACCGCGUGGGGGAGGAAGGUUCUUGGAUUGUCAACCCCUUUUCUCAGGGAAGAACNCAAUGACGGUACCUGAGGAAAAAGCAUCGGCUAACUCCGUGCCAGCAGCCGCGGUAAUACGGGGGAUGCAAGCGUUAUCCGGAAUGAUUGGGCGUAAAGAGUCCGUAGGUAGUCAUCCAAGUCUGCUGUUAAAGAGCGAGGCUUAACCUCGUAAAGGCAGUGGAAACUGGAAGACUAGAGUGUAGUAGGGGCAGAGGGAAUUCCUGGUGUAGCGGUGAAAUGCGUAGAGAUCAGGAAGAACACCGGUGGCGAAGGCG
rnacentral:rRNA from 1 species